ensembl:lncRNA
AUGAACAUGCUGGGGCUAAGCCCUGACCCUUGUGUUUUGCGAAAUACCGUGUCGUCUUCUCGCUUCCUGCUUUCACCCUUUGUAAACUCACCUCAUGGAAGAUUCAUCAAGAGUGGAAGUUCAUCUGGAUGGACCAUGGACGUGGCAGCAGAACUGGGAAAGUGGAGGGGCCAGCUGUGGUGGAGGGAGGGUGCAGUGGCAAUGUCUGUGGAACCAUGGCUUGAAUGUGAAUUCUUGUUUUUUAAGAUUUUGUUGACCUGAACAAAAAAUUGAACCAAAUCCAAACAAUCCAAACUCUGUUACAUGCUUUGAAUAAGUUUGACAAAAAAACUGAUGUUCUCUGGGAAGGACUGCUGGCCCUUGGGAGGGGUGUGUGUUUUAUUUUCCAGUAAUCUGGCUGGAAGUCGCAGAACCCAUAAGCAGAUGCUUUUUUAAUCUUUCUUAUUCAUAAAAAAUUUCUUCACCAGAACUAAGCUGGACAAUUUUACCUGAAGGUGAAUUGGAACCAUGCUGAAAAGGCAACCAUUCGGCUUCUUGUUAUGAAUUUACUCUAAUUAAUAUAAAAGCACCUCCCCAGGCCUAAAGUGACAGCCAGGUUUGAUGCAGGAAAGUGUUGAGUCUUGUCAUGGCUGCUAGGUUCAACCUCUCAGGUUUCUAAGGUGGGUAUUAUUCAGGCUGUCACCAUCUUCCCAGGAUAUUCAACUUGCUUGUCCCCUCUUUCCAGGAACAACAAGGCCAGCGCUUUUGGCAGACCAGAGCUUUGGAGAUGGCUUGUGUGAAAUGAGAAUCUCAUUUCCCCUGUUAAUUCCACUAGAGAUGGUUGAAACCUUCUCCUUCGAGAUGCACAUCUAGCAAUGUGGAACUUGGAGGAAGGCUUGCAGAUGGCACAAGAAAGAUCCUGAUGGUGAUUUGGGAAUGUUUAAUGUAGCCUGUAGGGCUAGAGUGCUCUCUGCUGUUGCGUUGCAUCUCAGAAUAGUUGCAAAGAAGGAGUUGGCUGAGGUUUCAGUCCAGCUCUGGACAGUAUGUUACUCUGCAUGCUACUCUGGACAGUAGUCUAGCACAAAAAGAGGUAUAGGAACUUAAAAGGCAAAUUUUGUGGUGCAAAACCAAACGACUGUUUAGAUGUCAGACAGCUGCAUUCCUUUCAUACUAGGCCCUGAGCAAGAGAAAAGAAGAAAAUGACCAUAUCAUUGUUUGGAGUAUGGAAGCUGUUCACCUCCUCACCUUUCACCACAGCUGUAUCUCUUUAAAGACAGCUUGGGGCUACUUUUAAGGUGAUAAUGAUACUUUUCUGAACCCUCCUUUACUUUUCUCCUCUUCCUUCAUGUCUAAGGGGCCUGCUUGCCACUCAUAGGUCAUUGUGAAAGCAGACUUUAACUUAGAGCUUCCUUCAUCCUGAAAUGAGUGUACUUGCUCUUGAGGAGGUGGAGUGAGUUAUUUUGGCCACUUCAAUUUUCAUUCAGUUGACUUCCCACUUACUAUAGGAUGUGGAAAGAAAGAUGGUUCUGUCCUGAGAAGUCAGGGAAAACAUUUUGAGGAUGUUGAAAGCUGCUGGAUGCGGUAUUGGAGAGUCCAAUAUUGACAUUUCCUUCCUGGUUGUAAAAGUGGAAUUUCCAGUAGUCUCUACAGGAACUGUUUAUGUAAAGGCUGUAUUAAGAGUUUUGAAACAAGCAUGCAUUUUGGCUAUGACCUCAUUAUUGCUUUUCUUUUUUUUUUUUUUUAAGGCAAUAUCUUGAGGCUAUCUUGGGAGGAAUUGCAAUGAUGAGAUCAGUAGAUAAGGAGUUGAAUGAAGGCUUGGAGCUCUCUCCCAGAGCCCUGGCCUGAUUGUUGUUUGUAUAAUACCAUUUUUAAUUCCCCUCUAUGUUUUCAGUUGAUUUGAGUAUUCUUUGCUUUCUUGUAAAAGCUGCCAUAGAGGAUUUUUGUUCUGUGUUAAUGAUCUGCUCUGUAUUGCUUUAAAGGUAGAAGAAUAAUCCCUGCAUGGGGAAGGCUUGCAAAAGCACUUUAGAAAGAAUGUCGUGGCAUAGAUGCACACAGACUAUUAUUAUAAGCAUAAAGAUUUUUAACUGAUCUGUGCAGUAUAAAGCUGACAGUUUUGUACAACAUUUGACUGAGUCAUCCACUGAGCAAGCUUAGAGACCGGACUACUCACUGCGAGUAUCUAAUAUCUAAUUUCCCUUGUGUAUGUACUUUCAUCAGGCCCGGAAUUCUAGUCUUAUCUGGACCUGUUUAGAACUGCAAUCCCCCUCCUGCCCCCAGUCUAGUAUGAUACAGUUUAAAAAAAAAUUUUUUUAAAUCAUUAUUACUAGGGUUUUAUAACAGUCUCCAUGUACAACUUUGAUUACUAAACUGAAUCUUAAAUAACUUUUUUUUUGAAGUGAAGGAAGAAUUUUAUCUCUGCCAUCUAAGCCUUAAACAGUGACAGUUUGGAACAUAAGAUAACUCUAAGGCUCUGGUCACUUUUGCUGAAGUCCUGUAGAGAGAACGGUAUUAAGGUAAAUAUAUCUCAUGCGAGGGUUCCAAAUUAUUUUUUUAAAUUAUCUUUGGGAGAAAAUUGAAUCUUCAAAACAAUGGCUGUAAAUGAAAAAGAAUUUCCAAUUCUAUUUGCUCUGGAAGCAGGGGAAGCCCAAAGCAUUAUGCCAUUCAAGGCUGUUCCUGCUAUUCCUAGUCAGUAAAGUGCACAGUGAUGCACUUGCUUGAGUAAGAAUAAGUCCAUUCUGAUAGCUCUAAGUAUAGUUUAUAGUGAAGAUUUAAGUUUGAAGCAUCAGAAAAGGGAAAGAAAUGCCACGUGACACAUCAGUGUGUCCUAUUAAUCUGUGGAUCUUGUGUAUUCUAAAAGUUACAGUUUCUUCGUACUAUGAUACCUUACCGUUUUGAAGGAAAUCUAAACUUAACUUUUUAAUUUUUUUCCCAUAAAGCAGGAAAGAUGAUGUUUCAUUUCCAAAGUACAGUCAAAAGUCUUUUUCCCCCACAAAGUGUUAAAUGUUGCAUCCUGUGGCUUAGUUUUUGAACCAUAUGGGAUUUAAAGGUAUCGUAGGAUUAUGUUGUUCUCUAUGAAAACAGCAAAACUAGACUCACAUUCUAAAGUAGAAGCUGGAACUUUUUGGUAAUCACAAGACUGAGAACUGAUCACAAGCUCCCCAGAUGAAAUCACAAGAUUUGCAGUGCAGCAAGGGGACGCUUUUCCCUUCUUUCAGCAGGAUUCAAAUACUUUAUCUGUGUUCAUAUGAGAUAAAGGACUUCCCCGAAUGUAGCAUAGCCUUCUAUGAUUCAUAGUCCGUGAUGUAAAGAUCCCAAUUUGUCGUAAUCUCUGGAGGGGAAGAAACAAAUAACUGAGUGAAUCUUCCUUAUGGUGGUGGUCCCCUAAAAUCAAAGGCAAUGCCCGAAACAAUGGGGUUGUGCCAGCCAUGAGCUCCACAUACCAGUUUUCUCCUUUCAUGUUUGUCUGCAAUGCUUAAUCUUGACACAGACUUUUCACAUCAUCCUUGGCACUUAUAUUAAUAAACUGAUGUGUAAUAAAUGCUUUGUAUGGCUU